rnacentral:rRNA from 1 species
AACGAACGCUGGCGGCAUGCCUAACACAUGCCAGUCGAACGAGAUCUUCGGGUCUAGUGGCGCACGGGUGCGUAACGGGUGGGAAUCUGCCCACAGGUUCGGCAUACCCAUUGGCAACGGUGGCCAAUACCGGAUGAUUACGUUAAGUCCAAAGAUAUAUCGCCUGAGGAUGAGCCCGCGUAGGAUUAGCUAGUUGGUGUGGUAAAGGCGCACCAAGGCGACGAUCCUUAGCUGGGCUGGGGGGAUGGUCAGCCACACUGGGACUGAGACACGGCCCAGACUAGUACAGAAUGCAGCAGUGGCGAAUAUCGGACGAUGGGCGAAAGCCUGAGCCACCAAUGCCGCGGGAUUGAUGAAGGCCUUAGGGUUGUAAAACUCUUUUAACCGGGAUGAUAAUGACGGUACCUGGUAAAGAAGCGCCGGCUAACUCCGUG